GUGGGCGUUAAGGCAUCUUGGGAAGCUCUAAGGAGUUUGCCAAGCUUCUUAGACUACGAUGACCUGGAUGACUUCACAGACAUCCCAGAGAAGAAAUGUUCAUACAUGUUUGCUGCUAAAGCUUUGAUGACUAAUUAUUAACUGGUUCAGAAGAACAAGGUUCUACUCGCGGUGUGAUGCUCCCAGACUGGUUCAUGGUUAUUUUCUCCCCAAACAAGAGAUUUACUUUGACAGAACCACGAUCACUUAUUCCUGUGAUAACGGAUAUAAACCAGUAGUGGAGGGUUGGUGGGCAACCAGUACCUGUGAACGUGGGAAAUGUUCGCAGGUACUUGAAGAUGUCGCAUGAACCACAAUGCAUAGAUGAAAGCAGCUGCCUUCCACCAACUAUUCCCAAUGGAAAGUACCAGGAAAACUCAAACAGCUGCAUCUUCUAGCACCUCUGACUCAAAUAAUAACAGAGACAACAGUCCUAUACUGAUAAACAUUCAGUCGUGUGGAGCCCGCCCAUCCAUCAAAAAUGCUAUAAUUGUGGAAUAAGGUCCAAUGUAUUUGAAAUACCAGUGUAAAAGUUAUUACAGACUAGUUGGUCCAGACACUGUGAAUUGUUAUGGUGAUGGUAGCUGGUCCAAACUACCCACCUGUGAAGAAGCGUUCUGUGUGGUGGAUCCUGCUAGAUAUGCUCGUCAUGGUCUUGCAGUAACUCAAUCUGAAUACAUGCGGGAAGGAGAAAAAAGAUAUUUUCCUUGUACUGCAAGACAUAAAUAUACCUAUGUUCAGUGUACUAACAGAAGAAUAUCUUUGACCAGUGUUACGAAAUCAGUUUUACCCCGGUUCUUUUUUUCGUCAAGGGAUCCAGAGAUGACACUGGAACUCAGAAGUUAUUUUCACAAAAUCUUUAUUCAUCUUCAUUUAAG